rnacentral:tRNA from 1 species
GUAGGUACAGCUCAAGUGGUAGAGUGCAUGCUUAGCAUGCAUGAGGUCUCAGGUUCAAUCCCCAGUACCUCCU